ACCUGGUUGAUCCUGCCAGUAGUGAUACGCUCGUACUAAGGAUUAAGCCAUGCAUGUCCAAGUAUAAAUUUUGAUAUAGUGAGACUGCGAACGGCUCAAUAGGCUCAGUUAUAGUUUAUUUGAUAAUGGCGUUUUCGGACGAUUUUUAAUUGGAUAACCGUAGAAAAUCUAGAGCUAAUACAUGCGAAUUUAAAGGGGAACUUUUUUGAGGAACCUCUGUAUUUAUUAGAAUAAAGAAAACCAAACUAGGUAGCAAUAUCUAGUCAAAAACAAAAACGUGAAUGAUAAUAACUUGUGAGAUUGGAAAGCGUUGAUUGUGUAGUAGCAAUAUUGCAUAGUCGACAUCACUUUUCAGUUUCCUUGGCGAAUCGAAUUUAGGUUGAAAAAAACCUUCGAUGAUUGAUUCAAAUUUCUGCUCUAUCAACUUUUUCGCAGUGUAGUGGACUGCGAAGGUUAUGACGGGUUCAGGGAGUAAGGGCUCGACUCUGGAGAGGGCGCCUUAGAGAUGGCGACCACUUCUAAGGAAGGCAGCAGGCACGUAACUUACCCAAUGUUCACAUUGAACGAGGUAGUGACGGUAAAUAUAAAUACAGAUCACCUUAAAUGGAGAUUUGUAAUUUAAAUGAGUACAAUUUAAAAAGCUUAACAAGGAUCAAUUGGAGGGCAAGUCUGGUGCCAGCAGCCGCGGUAAUUCCAGCUCCAAUAGCGUAUAUUAUAGUUGUUGCAGUUAAAAAGUUCGUAGUUGGAUUUUAAGAGUGAAAUAAAACUGAAGGGUUUCAAUAGGAAAAUCUUAUUGGUGAUUCCUUCAUUCACUCUACAAAAUUUGUUUGGAAAUAAUGAGGUAGGAAGAUCGUAAAAAGUCUUUCUAUCAAUUUAAAUCAUUAUUUCCCUUUUACUUUGAGGAAAUUUGAGUGUUCAAAGCAGGCAACAUUAGUUUUGCCAAUUUUUGAAAAUCACAGCAUGGUAUAAUAAAAUAUGUUCUGGAAUUCUAGAUCCAACGCACUUUUUGGUUUUGACUAGUUUUCUGAAAAUGAUAAAUAGAGAUAGUUGGGGGUAUUCAUAUUCGAUUGUCAGAGGUGAAAUUCUUGGAUUUUUCGAAGAUGAACUAAUGCGAAAGCAUUUAUCAAGGAUGUUUUCAUUGAUCAAGAACGAAAGUUAAGGGAUCGAAGACGAUCAGAUACCGUUGUAGUCUUAACUAUAAACGAUGCCGACCAAAGAUCAGCAGUUAUAAAACUAAUAAAAUGGAGCUAAAUCACUUUUCAAUAGCAAUAUUGAUUUAAGUGUAAUGCCCCUGCUGGAAUUUUUUGAGAAAUCAUUGAGUCUUCUGGUUCUGGGGGGAG
rnacentral:rRNA from 1 species